CCGGGUAGCGACGUCGGGAAGGGAUAACCGCUGAAAGCAUCUAAGUGGGAAGCCCACCUCAAGAUGAGCACUCCCAGGGCGUGAAGCCCUCGGAAGGGCCGUGCGAGACGAGCACGUUGAUAGGCGGCAGGUGGAAGCAUGGCGACAUGUGCAGCCGAGCCGUACUAAGUGCCCGAGAGGCUUGACCAG
rnacentral:rRNA from 1 species